GCCCGGCCCCCGCGACGCCCACGCGGGACGGAGGCACACGGGGCGCGAGGCGCAUGCGCGCGCCGCCGGAGUCCCCGCGUUCCCCAGAUAUAAAUUCGAACAGAAGGGUUCCCAGCUUUUCCAGCUUUGUGUAAUGUCGGUUCUGACACUGAAGCAGCCAAGAAGAAGAUGUAAGACUUACUUUUGAUAUCUGUUAAAGAUGACAUGAGCUGACAGAAAUCAAUAUUUGGAAACUGUAUUUCAUCUGACCAUUUAAACAUGGGAAGAAAAAAAUUACCAGCCAGUUAAGCAGAAAAGAAGAUAGUCCAGGAAAAUGGCCAAUUUGGGCAGACAACUUGGACAAAGAAGAAAUCUGCGUGAAUGAGUAUGGAAAAGCCCUGCAGUGUCAUGAGAAGGUCAGGCCAGGGAGAAAGGAGCAAUCUAUGCCCAAGGACUGUCAUCAGCAGGACAGAUUAUCCAUUUCCAAUUUAGAUAUUUCUGUACUGAAAGUGUUGAUAGUUGGUCAUGUGGAUAUUCCCAACAUCUUCAUCUGGACUGUCAGUAAAAGAUAUCAUCACUUAUGUAAGGAAGGACAUCUUAA